UCUUAACCGGCUCAGAUUGAAAUACGAAAAUUUAGCCAAUCACAAAGUCUAGUAACCAGAAUAAUAUGGAAGACGGAACGUUCACACAGAGAUUUUCUCAAGACUCUGGAACAUUUUCCCAAUCUUUAUUAUCCGAUUACCCUUCAACGAAUAGUACAGGAGGAUAUUUCCCAUCGGAUCCCCGUCGCCCUCCACUUCAAACAUCCCUCUCCGGCCGUCCACGCUUUGGCCUUCCUCCUCAUCGUGCGAGCAAUGCCCACGUCCAUGCUCUUCUUACAGAGCUUCGCUCUGACAUGGAUAUAAUUCCAAAGAGCUUAAAUAACGCAGUGGAAGCCGGCACUAAUUUCCUCUCUUCGGGUUUGGAAGAAACGAACGAAUCCAUUAAACUACUACGCGAAAAGGCCAUUGGAAUCGAGGAGUCCCUCACAAAACUCGACUCGCAAGAGAAUACCAUGUCUAAAAUCAUUAAUUCUCAAUUAGAAAUCAAAGAAGCUCUUUUGGAACUCUCCAAGACAGUAGAGAAACAAGGUUUUGAAAUAGAUCGUAUGAACUCCCAGAUGGACGAAAUUAUUAAUGGGGAUUAAUCGAGCCAUACUUCCAAGGUUUCGGAGAUCCCUUUUAGAUAGUUAGUUAAUCAUCAUAUGUACUACCAAAACCACUCAUUUGAAAACAUCAAUGUAAGUCUUCUCUAUGUAUUUUCAACCUACGGCGUUCCAUAAAAGUUUGUUAGAAGAAUCCAUAUUUCUGUUUCGUUAAGUAUUCGUUGUUCAUAUAUAAGUAUAUAUAUUCGUAAAUUUCCAAUUAGGUGUGAAUGAAUGUAUCCCAAUAACAGUUGAAGUUAUCUAUUCGUUAAAAUUUAUAUAUACAUAAAUAUCGUAAAUUAAUAGUAACAAUUCCUUUGUUACAACGUGUUAUAUAUAUAUAUAUAUAUAUAAUUAUAAUUAAUUAAGGAUAAUAGACAGUAUGUAAGAAUUCGCAUAAUAAUAAAUACACAAGAAAAUAUGGACAAAAAACAUUUUAACAUGAUUUUAGGCAUUCAGGUAUCCAUCAUAUUUCUACACAGUAUAAUUAAUAUUAUAAUUAUUUAAACGAAUGUAUGAAUCGUAAAGCAAAUGACGUUAAAAAUAUGAAAUUAAUAAUAAAGGAGUGGUUGGUGAUGAAUAAUGAUAGCUCAGUGAUUGUCUAACCGACUAGAUUUGUGAUCAUAGUUGCUCGACGAUCUGGACGUACCUCUACCGGAUUUUGAAGUGUUCGCAACCCCUCGUGUACGACGGGGAGUGUUAUGCCUCAUUUCGGAUGCCAUUUCUACUU
rnacentral:misc_RNA from 1 species